CCUACGGGCGGCAGCAGUGAGGAAUAUUGGUCAAUGGACGAGAGUCUGAACCAGCCAAGUAGCGUGAAGGAUGACUGCCCUAUGGGUUGUAAACUUCUUUUAUAUGGGAAUAAAAUGUUCCACGUGUGGGUUUUUGUAUGUACCAUAUGAAUAAGGAUCGGCUAACUCCGUGCCAGCAGCCGCGGUAAUACGGAGGAUCCGAGCGUUAUCCGGAUUUAUUGGGUUUAAAGGGUGCGUAGGUGGAUUGUUAAGUCAGUUGUGAAAGUUUGCGGCUCAACCGUAAAAUAGCAGUUGAAACUGGCAGUCUUGAGUAUAGUAGAGGUGGGCGGAAUUCGUGGUGUAGCGGUGAAAUGCUUAGAUAUUACGAAGAACUCCGAUUGCGAAGGCAGCUCACUGGACUGCAACUGACACUGAGGCACGAAAGUGUGGGUAUCAAACAGGAUUAGAUACCCUAGUAGUC
rnacentral:rRNA from 1 species